UUAAAUGACGGGGUUGUAGCUGGCUCUUUGUAGCAUGUGCACGCCUUUGUUCAAUUCAUCCACAUACCUCUGUGCACUUCUCAUAGGUUGGCUCGUUAUGAAGGACCGUCUUUAUUGAUCGCUCGAGAGUCUCUCUAUGUAUUUUACCACAAACAUUAUAAAGUCUUUGAAUGUAAACUUUGCUAUAAACGCAUUUAAAUACAACUUUCAGCAACGGAUCUCUUGGCUCUCGCAUCGAUGAAGAACGCAGCGAAAUGCGAUAAGUAAUGUGAAUUGCAGAAUUCAGUGAAUCAUCGAAUCUUUGAACGCACCUUGCGCUCCUUGGUAUUCCGAGGAGCAUGCCUGUUUGAGUGUCAUGUAUCCCUCAACCCCCUUUGGUUUUUUUUAAAAAAUUAAAGGCUGGAUUGGAUUUGGAGGCUGCUGGUUUUUAAUCGAAUCGGCUCCUCUUAAAUGCAUUAGUGUGGAUGUUACCGAACGUUCUCCGGUGUAAUAAUUAUUUGCGCUGUUGAUCUUUGGUAGACUUUAUCGUUCAUGCUUCGAACCGUCAUUUGUUUGACAACAUAAAACUUUGCAUUUGACCUCAAAUCAGGUAGGACUACCCGCUGAACUUAAGCAUAUCAA
rnacentral:rRNA from 1 species